AGCUCCAAUAGUGUAUAUUAAAGUUGUUGCGGUUAAAAAGCUCGUAGUUGGAUUUCUGCCAAGGCCGACCGGUCCGUCCUUUGGGUGAGUAUCUGGCUUGACUGGAGCAUCCUCUUGGAGAGCGUUGCUGCACUUGACUGUGUGGUGCGAAACCCAAGACUUUUACUUUGAGGAAAUUAGAGUGUUUCAAGCAGGCUCACGCCUUGAAUACAUUAGCAUGGAAUAAUAAGAUAGGGCCUUGGUUGUAUUUUGUUGGUUUCUAGAACUGAGGUAAUGAUGAACAGGGAUACUUGGGGGCAUACGAAUUUAACUGUCAGAGGUGAAAUUCUUGGAUUUGUUAAAGACGGACUACUGUGAAAGCAUUUGCCAAGAAUGUUU
rnacentral:rRNA from 1 species